UCACUUACCUGGCGUAGGAAUUAGCACGAUCCGCAAGGUGCUUUUCCCAUCCGGAGUCGGCCCAUUGCACUACGGGUUUGAUGAAGGGUGCGAUAGUCGCUAAUGUCGAUUACUCGGGCGCAUGAUUUUUUUUCCGGGGGUUUUGCGUCCGCGCAUGCCCCUA
rfam:Orchesella cincta Ocin01_Sc4516, whole genome shotgun sequence.